UAAGUCCAAGCUGAGUCUUCAUGGACUCAAUAAGAUAAGAAGAACUUUUAGAGGUUCAAAAUUUUUAUAUCCACAGGUUUCUUUGCCAAGACUUUGCCUCAAUACUAUUGACAAUGUGCCGACAAUGUGGAAGUUAAUGAUGAUCAGAUAUUGAAGAGUGAACAUUCUGCUUGUGGAAGUUCUUCUGCUCAGUAAAAAGUUAUCAUGAGGAAGUUCCACGUGGUUUCCCUGGUGCUCUUUGUAAUCAUCUACUCUACUGGCACAGGAGAUAGUUGGUUAACUGACAGUAAGGAGUGUCAUAUCAAAAAGGGCACAUGUACAUUUCAACCCUGCCACUCUCUUGAAGUACUUUUAGGAUACUGUGGCUUUCACACCAGAAGAUGUUGUGUGGCAAGAGACAUUUUGACUUUCCGUAACUAUCCUUAUACAUGAAGGCUUUGUGAUAUGGAAGGAUAAGAGUAUAGAAGAUGUGCAUGUAUAUACACAGUGCCUCACAAAGAAGAUGGAACUCAGUAAAAAAAAAUGCUCCUUUUAAUAAAGAAAAAUCAAUUGGAAAUUAUACUUCCUAAAAUAGAAA